GAAUGAGUUUUAUAUAUAUUAAGUUUUGGAUUUUAUCUUAUAUUUAUCCGUUUUAUUCCUAACAGAAGACUAGAUCAAUUUAGUUGGUUUCAUUUACCUGUAGUCAGGUGACCAUGUUGAUAGACAUUAAGGCGUUACUACCUGAAUUUAAUCAGUUCCAUAAACGACAGUGUGUGUUUGAAGUUGAUUUGGUGCUGUGUGGGUGACAGUAUGGACACGAAACAGUGAAUCGGAUUGUGUGUGCAGGGUCAAGAUGAACUCUGUUGAAUCUAUUUUAAGAGCUAACAGAAAACUAAAUUACCAGGAUAAGUUAGCUGCAAAGGAACUAGGGCCUCCCAGACCAGAUCUCUUGAUUGAGAAUGUGACAAAAUCAGUUAAGCGUGACUACAAGCGAACAUUUAACAAAGAAUUGUAUGAUAAGCACAAGUGGCUGUGUGGGUGCAACUUAAGACAGGCACUGUAUUGUUUCCCAUGUCUGAUUUUCAGCCCGGAAGUCAAUUCGUGGACUAAUAAAGGUGUUAGAGAUCUUGUACAUUUGUCUGAAAAAAUAAAAAAGCAUGAAAAAUCCCAUGUACACAAAAAUGCAAACAUUGAACUCUCAGUUCUUGGUAAAGUGAACAUCAGUACUCAGCUUGACGGUGUAUACAGAGAGUCUGUCAGGAAACAUAAUGAGCAAGUGGACAGGAAUAGACAUAUCCUCUCCAGGUUAAUAGACUGCAUAAAAUUUUGCGGGGCAUUUGAGUUAGCUUUACGUGGUCAUGAUGAAAGGGAAGAUCCAGAAAACCCAGGAGUCUUCCGUGGGCUUGUAAAUUUAGUAAGUGCUAUUGAUGGCUCAAUGAAGGAGCACUUAGAAACAGCAACUGUAUUUAAAGGUACAUCCAGAACAGUUCAAAAUGAGCUUCUGGAUUGUAUGCUAAGUGUAUGCAGAGAAAUUAUAACGCAAGAAAUUUUAAAUGCGCAUUAUUUGGCUAUAAUGGCAGACGAAACAACAGAUGUGUCCACCAUGCAACAGUUGGUGAUUGUGUAUAGAUACGAACUUAAUGGCUCUGUUGUGGAGAGGUUUUGGGGCUUCUUUAACCCUGACACACAGGAUGCUGAGACGCUAUUUAAGGUGAUAAAGUCUGAAUUGCAAAAGCAUGCAGAUGGAAAGAAGGAAAAAGUGAUCGCACAAUGCUAUGAUGGUGCUGCUGUUAUGAGUGGAGGCAUCAAUGGUGUUCAGGCAAGGAUUAAGCAGAUGUAUCCAAGGGCUUAUUACAUUCACUGCUACGCUCAUCAACUUAAUCUGGUUUUGCAAAAAGCUGCAUCUAUAAACAAAUCUGCUAGAAUAUUUUUUUCUAAUCUCUCAGGCUUUCCAGCUUUUUUCUCCCGGUCGUCACACGGAACAUGUGUGCUAGACAGAGUUGUGCAAACUAGUCUACCACGGAUAGCAGCUACAAGAUUGGUGUUUAACAUUCAGACAGUCAACACAAUUAGAGAGAACAAGGAAAGUAUGAUAGAGUGUUUAGGAGAAAUUACCCUCUCUGAUCGUGUAGAUGACAAAACCAGACGAGAAAGUUAUGGCCUCCUCUCCAAUUUGAAAAAUCCUGAGUUCUUGUUUUGGCUAGAAUUUUUUCAUAGGAUCAUGCCACAUGCAGAUAUACUUUUCAGGAAACUACAACAACAGAAUGUUGAAGCGAUAACUGCUAGACAAUACUUAUUGGAGUUUGAAGAUGUAAUUACAAGAAUAAGAACUACUGCCAUUGAAGAAAUUUCAUUUGCCACUGAAGAAAUUUCGUCAUCGUGUGAAGAACAAAUUCAGAAGAAAAGAAAAUCAGAAAACAAAGUAGAAGAUGCGAAGGAAGUUUGUGAUGCCAUAAUAAGUCAUAUGAAUGAAAGAUUUUCAUUCACUGAUCACCUUGUGGCAUCAAAAUUGUUAGAUGUGAACUCAUUUUCUCUGUUUUCGACAAAUUUUCCUGAGAGAGAACUUGAUAUUACUGUUGAAAUGUACCCAUGGUUAUCGAAGGUGCAGCUGAGAACAGAGCUAGAAGUACUCUACAGUAGAAAAGACUUCCAACGCGCAGGUGGUGCUGUUGCAAUUCUACAGCUUCUAUUAGACAACAAAUUGGAUCUAGACACUUUUCCGCAGUUGUGUGAACUAAUGAGGAUAAUUAUAACUACUCCUCUUGCAACAGUUGAACCUGAACGUUGUUUCUCAACAAUGAAAAGGAUAAAAACCUUUCUUCGAAACACAGUGACAGAGAACAGGCUUUCGGCAUUGGCAAUGCUCGCAAUUGAGAAAAAGUUUGUUAAUCAUACUAAAGACUUCAAUCAUAGAGUGAUUGAGACAUUUGCUCGAUUAGAAAACAGACGCAUGGAUUUUCUUUAUAAAUAGGCAAUGUCAGUCAUGCUGCAGUGUAGUUUUCUCUGUUUAAUAUAUACCUACAGUACAGUGUAAUGUGUAUUAAUAUUAACUUUUGUGUGGACUAUACGGAAGAAUAGGACAUUUCGUAAGAAGAGGUUAUGCCUGUUUCCUGAUUCAGAAACUGAGAUUUGGUGUGUGGAAAAGCUGUUACAAGAAGCGCUGAUUCUCCUGCAAGUGAUAUCCCCCCUGUCUGCCAAGAAUGUGAGGAGAAAGCAUUUUCACAUUGCCUUGCUUUGUCGUGGCAUGCUCAUAUGCAGACACAGAA